rnacentral:rRNA from 1 species
UAAAAAGCUCGUAGUUGGAUUUCGGGGCGGCCCGGCCGGUCCGCCGCAAGGCGAGCACUGGUCGGGCGCCCUUCCUCUCGAAGGCUUCGACUGCUCUUGAUUGUUGUGGUCGAGGAGUUCGGGACGUUUACUUUGAAAAAAUUAGAGUGUUCAAGGCAGGCCGUGGCCUGAAUACAUUAGCAUGGAAUAAUGGAAGAGGACCUCGGUCCUAUUUUGUUGGUUUCCAGGGCCGAAGUAAUGAUUGAGAGGGACAGUUGGGGGCAUUCGUAUUUAAUUGUCAGAGGUGAAAUUCUCGGAUUUAUGAAAGACGAACAAGUGCGAAAGCAUUUGCCAAGGAUGUUUUCAUUAAUCAAGAACGAAAGUUGGGGGUUCGAAGACGAUCAGAUACCGUCGUAGUCCCAACCAUAAACUAUGCCGACUAGGGAUCGGCGGAUGUUAGCGUCUGACUCCGUCGGCACCUUACGAGAAAUCAAGAGUCUUUGG